rnacentral:SRP_RNA from 1 species
GCCGGGGGUGGUGGCGGGCGCCUGUAGUCCCAGCUACUCCGGAGGCUGAGGCAGGAGAAUGGCGUGAACCCUGGGAGGUGGAGCUUACAGUGAGCUGAGAUUCCGCCACUGCACUCCAGUCUGGGCGACCUAGCAAGACUCCGUAUCAAAAAAAAAAAAAAAGAGAGAGACGGAGUCUUGCUCUGCCGCCCAGGCUGGAGUGCAGUGGCGCCAUCUCAGCUCACUGCAAGCUCCAUCUCCCGGGUUCACGCCAUUCUCCUGCCUCAG